rnacentral:rRNA from 1 species
GACGAACGCUGGCGGCGUGCUUAACACAUGCAAGUCGAACGGAAAGGCCCUGCUUUUGUGGGGUGCUCGAGUGGCGAACGGGUGAGUAACACGUGAGUAACCUGCCCUUGACUUUGGGAUAACUUCAGGAAACUGGGGCUAAUACCGGAUAGGAGCUCCUGCUGCAUGGUGGGGGUUGGAAAGUUUCGGCGGUUGGGGAUGGACUCGCGGCUUAUCAGCUUGUUGGUGGGGUAGUGGCUUACCAAGGCUUUGACGGGUAGCCGGCCUGAGAGGGUGACCGGCCACAUUGGGACUGAGAUACGGCCCAGACUCCUACGGGAUGCAGCAGUGGGGAAUAUUGCACAAUGGGCGGAAGCCUGAUGCAGCAACGCCGCGUGCGGGAUGACGGCCUUCGGGGUGUAAACCGCUUUCGCCUGUGACGAAGCGUGAGUGACGGUAAUGGGUAAAGAAGCACCGGCUAACUACGUG